rnacentral:tRNA from 1 species
GGCCCCAUCGUCUAGAGGCCCAGGACAUCAGAUUUUCAGUCUGAGUACCGGGGUUCGAAUCCCCGUGGGGUCA